rnacentral:miRNA from 1 species
UGCCACAGUGCCCGAUUGCCG